GUUUACGACCAUACCAGACUGAAAACACCGAUCUCCGAAGUUAAGCAGUUUCGGGCCGGGUUAGUACUUGGGAGGCAGACCACUUGGGAACCCCCGGUGUUGUAGACU
rnacentral:rRNA from 2 species